rnacentral:rRNA from 1 species
GACGAACGCUGGCGGCGUGCCUAAUACAUGCAAGUCGAGCGGUCCCUUCGGGGAUAGCGGCGGACGGGUGAGUAACACGUAGGCAACCUGCCUGUAAGACCGGAAUAACUAUCGGAAACGAUAGCUAAGACCGGAUAGCUGGUUUUCUCGCAUGAGAGAAUCAUGAAACACGGGGCAACCUGUGGCUUACAGAUGGGCCUGCGGCGCAUUAUCUAGUUGGUAGGGUAACGGCCUACCAAGGCGACGAGGCGUAGCCGACUGAGAGGGUGACCGGCCACACUGGGACUGGGACACGGCCCAGACUCCUACGGGAGGCAGCAGUAGGGAAUCUUCCGCAAUGGACGGAAGUCUGACGGAGCAACGCCGCGUGAGUGAUGAAGGUCUUCGGAUCGUAAAGCUCUGUUGCCCUAGACGAACAGCAAGGAGAGUAACUGCUCUUUGUGUGACGGUAUAGGAGAAGAAAGCCCCGGCUAACUACGUGCCAGCCGCCGCCGUAA